AAACAAACAAAGUUGUCGCAUACGAGGC
rnacentral:piRNA from 1 species